rnacentral:lncRNA from 1 species
ACCUGUCUUUUUUUUUUUUUUUUUUUUUUUUGUAGAUUAGACAAAGUAGAAAUCUAUGUGAUUGGAGCAGCAGGGGAGUUGUCACUAGAAGAAAGAACACUGAAGAAUAGAAAGAAUUCAGAGAGAUAAAAAGAAGAGUUAAAGAGCAUGAAUUCAGGGCUAGCAGAUACAAAUGAACAUGUUACAGGGAUUGGAGAAAUCAGAUUUGUCUACCAUUCCAGUUGGCUUUUGAGUGGAUAAUUGUUGCGGAGAGAGAAUUCACUUUGGAAACAACUAGUGACUGUUUGAACUACAUAAAAUACAACCAUGGAAAGAAAUACGUGUGAUUUGCUCUCUCGGAGCAAAAGUGCCUCUGAGGAAACACUGCAUUCUAGUAAUGAAGAGGAAGACCCUUUUCGAGGAAUGGAGCCCUACCUUGUUCGAAGACUUUCAUGCCGCAAUAUACAGCUUCCUCCCCUUGCCUUCAGACAACUGGAACAGGCUGACUUGAAAAGUGAAUCAGAGAACAUUCCAAGACCAACCAGCCUCCCCUUGAAGAUUCUGCCACUGAUUGCUAUCACUUCUGCAGACUCCAGUGGGAAAUGA